rnacentral:rRNA from 1 species
GUGUCAGCCGCCGCGGUAAUACGUAGGGUGUGAGCGUUAAUCGGAAUUACUGGGCGUAAAGCGUGCGCAGGCGGCUUUGCAAGACAGAGGUGAAAUCCCCGGGCUCAACCUGGGAACUGCCUUUGUGACUGCAAGGCUAGAGUACGGCAGAGGGGGAUGGAAUUCCGCGUGUAGCAGUGAAAUGCGUAGAUAUGCGGAGGAACACCGAUGGCGAAGGCAAUCCCCUGGACCUGUACUGACGCUCAUGCACGAAAGCGUGGGGAGCAAACAGGAUUAGAAACCCUUGUAGUCC